GCCACCGCGCCCGGCCUACAGGUUCUUCCAUUUAUAUAAAAUUCUAAAACAGGGCACCCAGUUAUCAGCCUCCUGGGAGAGCAGGACACACACUGAGGGUACCUCUGAGGCCCCAGCUGGGGUACAAAUGUCUUUGACUGCUCUCCUGUCGCAGUCAGAAGAUGAGUCAGCACAGCCACUGCAGAAGCCGGCACCAUCUCUGCCUGAUCCCGACCACUGAAAAGCCACCUGGUGCUGCAGGUCAAUGCUCAGCAGAAGGUCCUCUGGCCACGGCCUGAGGGGUCAGCAUCAGACCCUGGUCCCCCUCAGAGUUUCUGCCCAGGGGUCACUAGAGUACAUUUGAAAUGUUUAGGAUGAGUACUGGGGAGGCUGCAGUGGAGCCCUGGGGGGAAUGUAGGGAAGAGGAGGAGGGCAGUUAAGGCUGGGGGUGGAUAUCAGGGUGAAGAUAGUAGGACGAGGGGUGUGGAAAAGACAGGUGCUAGGUGGAGGGCAGGGUAAGUGGUGAGAAGAACUUGUGGGACCGGGAAGGUGCAGAAAGCAUUUUUUGAUGAAGCAAUUGGAGAAUAUCCACAGGACAAGAUUUGCAUCUCUGAGAGUCUUUCUUUGGAUCAUGACCCAGUGAUUUUUUUUUUUUUACUGUAUUGUUUGUUUUGAAUUUCUUCAAACAGAAACUUAAAAUGUACAUUGAUCAGCUUUUCUAGUUACCUUCAGCAAAAGGACCAUUCCAGCUCCUUAGCACAUCAUUACUAGAAGCAGGAGUCCCUCCAUGCUGUAUCCUUACCCACUCCUUUAUUUUCAAAUUCCCAUCUCCUUCUGUGCACAAAAUACAUGUGUUUCUCUUUUGAUCCAGC
rnacentral:lncRNA from 10 species